GAGUAAGAAUCAAGGAGUAAACUAAUAAUGUGGAUGUCAUUGUGGGAGUCUGCCAUAGACUUCCCUGUCAGGACGAUGAUGCCAACAAAUUAUUCUUUGAGGAACUAAGGGACACUUCCAAGUCAACUGCCCUUGUCCCUGUGGGGGACUUACACUUGCCAGAAAUCAACUGGGAGCAUCACGCAGCUAGUACAACUCAGGCCAGAAGAUUCUUAAAAAAUCUGGGUGAAUCUGGUCCUCAGGGAUCCAACUCAGAAUGAUGCUCUCCUUGAUCUGCUGCUUGUCAACAGAGUGGAUCUCAUGAGAGAAGUGGAGAUUGGGGGCCAUCUUGGUCACAGUGAACACAAAGUGCUGGGGUCCAUCAGUGCCAGUCACUCUUCAAACAUCACCUCCUAAGGGCACAGAAGCAGGCAAUUCCCAAUGUUGGAAGUCAAAUAGAUGAUGAACCAAGGGCAUUUCAGUGCCAUGAGAUGGAGGACUGUGACCGUGAGAAUGACCAACUCCCAGUCAACCUUGAAAUUGUGCAGAUGCUGCUCCAACUGGAUCCCUACAAAUCUACAGGGCCUGAUGGGAUUAAUUCCAGAAUCCUCAAAAAGCUGGCUGAUGACAUCACAAAACCUCUCUCGAUGAUUUUUUGAGCGGUCUUGGGAAGCCAGAAAGGCCCCAGCAGACUGGAAGUCAGUGAACAUUGUCCCAAUUUUCAAGAAGGGCAAAAAGAUGGACCCCAGAAACUACAGGCCUGUCAAUCUCACUUCAGUGCCU